rnacentral:rRNA from 1 species
GAUGAACGCUGGCGGCGUGCCUAAUACAUGCAAGUCGAGCGAACAGACGAGGAGCUUGCUCCUCUGACGUUAGCGGCGGACGGGUGAGUAACACGUGGAUAACCUACCUAUAAGACUGGGAUAACUUCGGGAAACCGGAGCUAAUACCGGAUAAUAUAUUGAACCGCAUGGUUCAAUAGUGAAAGACGGUUUUGCUGUCACUUAUAGAUGGAUCCGCGCCGCAUUAGCUAGUUGGUAAGGUAACGGCUUACCAAGGCAACGAUGCGUAGCCGACCUGAGAGGGUGAUCGGCCACACUGGAACUGAGACACGGUCCAGACUCCUACGGGAGGCAGCAGUAGGGAAUCUUCCGCAAUGGGCGAAAGCUUGACGGAGCAACGCCGCGGGAGUGAUGAAGGUCUUCGGAUCGUAAAACUCUGUUAUUAGGGAAGAACAAAUGUGUAAGUAACUAUGCACGUCUGGACGGUACCUAAUCAGAAAGCCACGGCUAACUACGG